UUUAGGAAGGAUACAGAAAGGAAGAGGGACGGGGAAGGAGGGGGAAACAGGGAAAAGUUGCAGACAUUGUCGUGCCGAGCAUAAAGCUAUAAGAUGGCCUCUCAUAACACACUUGUGUGUUUCCCACAGAAUGGCAGGGUUCGUAUCAGUUCAGCUCGUAGGCUUUCGGUCGAUUCCCGUAGCAGAUUUUUGAUGUCCUCCUUCGUUGGUAACGCUUUCAGGUAAGUUUGAAGCGGGAGUUCGUUGUCGCUUUCUGGGUCUGAGGAGUCCUGGGCUUGUUGUGCUUGAAUGUACUCAUCUGUAUCUGCUGCCGGCGCCAUUUUGUUAGCGUCGUGGUCAGCUUUGGAGUGUUUAAAUAUCGGUGCAAUCACUUUUUCUGGUGGUAAUGAUCUCUCCACCACUUGCCUCUCUCUCUCUGGUUUACUUUUAUGAGUUUUCCCCAUGUUAAGUGCAGAUAUGUCGGCUUAUUGUCUCAGUCUGUGCGGAGCUCGUUUAUCCUGCUGCCAUUCAGCUUUGUGGUCAGCCA